rnacentral:rRNA from 1 species
AUUGAACGCUGGCGGCAGGCCUAACACAUGCAAGUCGAGCGAGCGGUGGACGGGUGAGUAAUGUAUGGGGACUGCCCGAUAGAGGGGGAUAACUACUUGAAACGGUAGCUAAUACCGCAUACUAUCGGAUAACCCAUAUGGGGUUGGCUGGUAGGUGAGGUAAUGGCUCACCUAGGCGACGAUCCCUAGCUGGUCUGAGAGGAUGAUCAGCAACACGGGGACUGAGACACGGCCCAGACUCCUACGGAGGCAGCAGGGGGGAAUAUUGAACAAUGGGCGCAAGCCUGAUGCAGCCAUGCGGGGUGUAGGAAGAAGGCCCUAGGGUUGUAAAGUACUUUCAGUCGGGAGGCGUUACCGACAGAAGAAGCACCGGCUAACUCCGUGCCAGCAGCCGCGGUAAUUC